GCGUGGGGAGCAAACAGGAUUAGAUACCCUGGUAGUCCACGCCCUAAACGAUGUACACUAGUUGUUGUGAGGCUCGACCUUGCAGUAAUGCAGUUAACACAUUAAGUGUGCCGCCUGGGGAGUACGGUCGCAAGAUUAAAACUCAAAGGAAUAGACGGGGACCCGCACAAGCGGUGGAGCAUGUGGUUUAAUUCGACGAUACACGAAGAACCUUACCUGGACUUGACAUAGUAAGAACUUUCUAGAGAUAGAUUGGUGUCUGCUUGCAGAAACUUAUAUACAGGUGCUGCACGGCUGUCGUCAGCUCGUGUCGUGAGAUGUUGGGUUAAGUCCCGCAACGAGCGCAACCCUCGUCAUUAGUUGCUAACAGUUCGGCUGAGAACUCUAAUGAGACUGCCUACGCAAGUAGGAGGAAGGUGAGGACGACGUCAAGUCAUCAUGGCCCUUACGUCCAGGGCUACACACGUGCUACAAUGGGGUAUACAAAGAGCAGCAAUACGGUGACGUGGAGCAAAUCUCAAAAAUAUCUCCCAGUUCGGAUUGUAGUCUGCAACUCGACUACAUGAAGUUGGAAUCGCUAGUAAUCGUAGAUCAGCUAUGCUACGGUGAAUACGUUCCCGGGUCUUGUACUCACCGCCCGUCACACCAUGGGAGUUGAACUCAUUCGAAGCGGGGAUGCUAAAGUAGCUACCUUCCACAGUGGAUUCAGCGACUGGGGUGAAGUCGUAACAAGGUAACCGUAGGAGAACCUGCGGUUG
rnacentral:rRNA from 1 species